GAAUCCCACAGGCCGUAAACCCAAGGUUUCCAGGGGAAGGUUCGUCCGCCCUGGGUUAGUCGGGACCUAAGCUGAGGCCGAAAGGCGUAGGUGAUGGACAACAGGUUGAUAUUCCUGUACUACCGAUAACCGUUUGAGAGAAGGGAUGACACAGUAGGAUAAGCUAAGCACACUGUUGGUUAUGUGUGCCCAAGCAUUGAGGCAGUCAAAGUAGGCAAAUCCGCUUUGAUAAUGCUGGGAUGUGAUGGGGAGCGAAAUUUAGUAGCGAAGUAGCUGAUUUCACACUGUCAAGAAAAGUCUCUAUCGAGGUUAAAGGUACCCGUACCGCAAACCGACACAGGUGGGUGAGGAGAGUAUCCUAAGGCCAGCGAGAGAACUGUUGUUAAGGAACUCGGCAAAAUGACCCCGUAACUUAGGGAUAAGGGGUGCCACCAUCAGGUGGCCGCAGAGAAUAGGCCCAAGCGACUGUUUACCAAAAACAUAGGUUUCUGCUAAGUCGCAAGACGAUGUAUAGGAGCUGACGCCUGCCCGGUGCUGGAAGGUUAAGGGGAUCUGUUAGAG
rnacentral:rRNA from 1 species